rnacentral:rRNA from 1 species
CGAACGCAUCCCGCUGAAUUGAAGUGCUUGCACUGAUUUUCAGCAUUGGAUGAGUGGCGAACUGGUGAGUAACACGUGGGUAACCUGCCCGGAAGCAGGGGAUAACACUUGGAAACAGGUGCUAAUACCGUAUAACAACUGAAACCGCAUGGUUUCAGUUUAAAAGAUGGUUUCGGCUAUCACUUCUGGAUGGACCCGCGGCGUAUUAGCUAGUUGGUGGAGUAAUGGUUCACCAAGGCAAUGAUACGUAGCCGACCUGAGAGGGUAAUCGGCCACAUUGGGACUGAGACACGGCCCAAACUCCUGCGGGAGGCAGCAGUAGGGAAUCUUCCACAAUGGACGAAAGUCUGAUGGAGCAACGCCGCGUGAGUGAAGAAGGGUUUCGGCUCGUAAAACUCUGUUGUUGAAGAAGAACACAUCUGAGAGUAACUGUUCAGGUGUUGACGGUAUUUAACCAGAAAGCCACGGCUAACUACGUGCCAGCAGCCGCGGUAAUACGUAGGUGGCAAGCGUUGUCCGGAUUUAUUGGGCGUAAAGCGAGCGCAGGCGGUUUCUUAAGUCUGAUGUGAAAGCCUUCGGCUUAACCGGAGAAGUGCAUCGGAAACUGGGAGACUUGAGUGCAGAAGAGGACAGUGGAACUCCAUGUGUAGCGGUGAAAUGCGUAGAUAUAUGGAAGAACACCAGUGGCGAAGGCGGCUGUCUGGUCUGUAACUGACGCUGAGGCUCGAAAGCAUGGGUAGCGAACAGGAUUAGAUACCCUGGUAGUCCAUGCCGUANACGAUGAAUACUAGGUGUUGGAGGGUUUCCGCCCUUCAGUGCCGCAGCUAACGCAUUAAGUAUUCCGCCUGGGGAGUACGACCGCAAGGUUGAAACUCAAAGGAAUUGACGGG